UACGUGAGGUUAUAAAGCCUUAAGAGGUGGCCCAGCUUGUCCGGUAGGAUUCUGUCAUCGGAUCAGGCGAUGAUUCUGGGCUCGGGCCUUCAUGGACCCAUAUAUUACAUGUCAAAAAUUAGUAAAGGGGAAAAUACAAAAAUGUCUUGAAGGAAAGUACCAACCUUUUAUAUUUUCAAUAUUUUUGCCACCUUUCAUAUUCUUUAACUGACAAAUUCUCCGAAACAUUCCUUUCAUUGAAAAAAUUGAAUUAAAUUAUUCAAAAAUUGAUUUCCAUCCCCACCAGCCUCCCCCGCCCCAUUAGCGCCUAUCCUACACCGAUAUUCUUGCUCUCUUUGUAAUUAUAAAUCUCCUCAAUCUCCUUUUCAAUUCUCUCACUUGCUAUCCUUUUAAAUUAAAAAUGAUCAGGAUUAAGAAAUCCACCGAAAGAAUAAACCCACCAUCAUUAAGAAGAUAACAACCAACAAGGAGUGAGUUGUUGUUGAAUGGCUACCCACACGACUACAAACCUCAGGAACGACCUCUGAACAAUUGAAGGCGCAACCAAUAUAGCAAUUGUUGUAGCAACCCAAGGAGAAAGAACAUGAGGUGUGGGCUUACAAAGUUAUUCCUAAGAUACGUGAUGAGGGUAUUGCAACGGUUGAUAACCCUGUUAUUGCAUACAUAACACACAUAUUGGGAUGAACUUCUACUAAACAUCCAAGUUUCAAAGAUCUCUGUGAUUCCAUAUUUGGGGAAAAAAAAGAAGUUUGAGGCAAUACAAUGGAUUUUAAAGGCAACUAUGAAUGAAUUGAGAUAGGACUAUAUGCGUUUAUGGCGUAAUGGCCAUACCAAACGCUGAUUCCUAGCCCCACCAAUCGUGGAGCUAGUUGAGCCAAUUGUGGAGCCUGCAGCAGCUCAGUCAGUACUAGGAUGUCAUCAUAUGGGCCUAAUGACGCCAGUGUAAGUGCCAGGGCUUUAAUGAUUAUUCUAUUGAUUUGUUUGAUAAAGAUAUGGACAAUUGUACAAAUGUUUACAAGCAACAAACAAACAAACAAUAAUUAGUUUUACAUGAUAGUUCUUAAUGAUAAUGACUAAUCAAAUAAAAAUUUCUUUUAAAAAGCUA